rnacentral:rRNA from 1 species
UACGGGGGGGGCAAGCGUUGUUCGGAAUUACGGGGCGUAAAGGGCUCGUAGGCGGUCCGAUAAGUCCCGUGUGAAAUCCCUCGGCUCAACUGAGGAAUGGCACGGGAAACUGACGGGCUUGAGUUCGGGAGAGGGAAGCGGAAUUCCGGGUGUAGCGGUGAAAUGCGUAGAUAUCCGGAGGAACACCGGUGGCGAAGGCGGCUUCCUGGACCGACACUGACGCUGAGGCGCGAAAGCUAGGGGAGCAAACGGG